rnacentral:rRNA from 1 species
UACGUAGGGGGCAAGCGUUGUCCGGAUUUACUGGGCGUAAGGGCGCGUAGGCGGCAAUUCAAGUCAGCUGUGAAAUCUCCGGGCUUAACUCGGAACGGUCAGCUGAUACUGCUUUGCUAGAGUGCAGAAGGGGCAAUCGGAAUUCUUGGUGUAGCGGUGAAAUGCGUAGAUAUCAAGAGGAACACCUGAGGUGAAGACGGGUUGCUGGGCUGACACUGACGCUGAGGCGCGAAAGCUAGGGUAGCAAACGGG